rnacentral:rRNA from 1 species
GAUGAACGCUGGCGGCGUGCCUAAUACAUGCAAGUCGAGCGAACAGAUGAGGAGCUUGCUCCUCUGACGUUAGCGGCGGACGGGUGAGUAACACGUGGAUAACCUACCUAUAAGACUGGGAUAACUUCGGGAAACCGGAGCUAAUACCGGAUAAUAUAUUGAACCGCAUGGUUCAAUAGUGAAAGACGGUUUUGCUGUCACUUAUAGAUGGAUCCGCGCCGCAUUAGCUAGUUGGUAAGGUAACGGCUUACCAAGGCAACGAUGCGUAGCCGACCUGAGAGGGUGAUCGGCCAGACUGGAAGUGAGACACGGUCCCGACUCCUAGGGGAGGCAGCAGUAGGGAAUCUUCCGCAAGGGGGGAAAGCGUGACGGAGCAACGCGGCGUGAGUGAUGAAGGUGUUCGGAUCGUAAAGCUCUGUUAGUAGGGAAGAACAAAUGUGUAAGUAACUAUGCACGUCUUGACGGUACCUGAUCAGAAAGCCACGGCUAACUACGUG